CCCUUAGAUGUUCUGGGCCGCACGCGUGCUACACUGAGUAAUUCAAUGGGUAAGGGAACGCUAGAGCAUUACCUAAUCUUGAAAUUUGCUCGUGAUGGGGAUCGACGGUUGCAAUUUUCCGUCGUGAACGAGGAAUACCUUGUAGGCGCAUGUCAUCAUCAUGCGCCGAAUACGUCCCUGCCCUUUGUACACACCGCCCGUCGCUCCUACCGAUUGAGUGAUCCGGUGAGGCUCUGGGACCUGGACGGAAAGAGCGUUUCGCUUGUUCUGUUUGGGAAACUUGGUCGAACCUUAUCAUUUAGAGGGAGGAGAAGUCGUAACA
rnacentral:rRNA from 1 species